AUUGAACGCUGGCGGCAGGCCUAACACAUGCAAGUCGAGCGGAAACGAAGGGAGCUUGCUCCCAGGCGUCGAGCGGCGGACGGGUGAGUAACACGUGAGAAUCUGCCCAUUAGUGGGGGACAACUCGGGGAAACUCGAGCUAAUACCGCAUAAUCCCUCCGGGGGAAAGCAGGGGACCUUUUGGCCUUGCGCUGAUGGACGAGCUCACGUCGGAUUAGCUUGUUGGUGAGGUAAAGGCUCACCAAGGCGACGAUCCGUAGCUGGUCUGAGAGGAUGAUCAGCCACACUGGGACUGAGACACGGCCCAGACUCCUACGGGAGGCAGCAGUGGGGAAUCUUGGACAAUGGGGGCAACCCUGAUCCAGCCAUGCCGCGUGUGUGAAGAAGGCCUUCGGGUUGUAAAGCACUUUCAGCAGGGAGGAAGGCUUUGGCCGAAUAGGUUGAAGUACUUGACGUUACCUGCAGAAGAAGCACCGGCUAAUUUCGUGCCAGCCGCCGCGGUAA
rnacentral:rRNA from 1 species